rnacentral:rRNA from 1 species
GACGAACGCUGGCGGCGUGCUUAACACAUGCAAGUCGAACGGAAAGGCCCUGCUUUUGUGGGGUGCUCGAGUGGCGAACGGGUGAGUAACACGUGAGUAACCUGCCCUUGACUUUGGGAUAACUUCAGGAAACUGGGGCUAAUACCGGAUAGGAGCUCCUGCUGCAUGGUGGGGGUUGGAAAGUUUCGGCGGUUGGGGAUGGACUCGCGGCUUAUCAGCUUGUUGGUGGGGUAGUGGCUUACCAAGGCUUUGACGGGUAGCCGGCCUGAGAGGGUGACCGGCCACAUUGGGACUGAGAUACGGCCCAGACUCCUACGGGAGGAAGCAGUGGGGAAUAUUGCACAAUGGGCGGAAGCCUGAUGCAGCAACGCCGCGUGCGGGAUGACGGCCUUCGGGUUGUAAACCGUUUUCGCCUGUGAUGAAGCGUGAGUGACGGUAAUGGGUAAAGAAGCACCGGCUAACUACGUG